rnacentral:tRNA from 1 species
GAGACCUUAAUUUAAUGGUAAAAUACGAGACUUUUAAUCUUUGUUAUGUAAGUUCGAAUCUUACAGGUCUUA